rnacentral:lncRNA from 1 species
CUCAGAAGUAGACAGACUAGUUGAGUUAAUUGUACAAUACACCUCUUUUUCUCUGUAGGUAGAUGCAUCCUGAGGUGAUAGAUGCAAGAUUACAGGUAAAAGACUUGCUUUUUCUCAGCAGUACAAUCGACAGCUCAAUGCACAACUGCCCUGGUGGAGAAUCAAAGAUGUUAAGAUACACGCUAUAUUUCAACAGAAUCCUAAAAAGGCCCAUCAAGUUUCCCAUGCACAUCCUAGGAAUAUGAAUAUACGAGAAAGGACCCUCACAUAUCAACUGAACAUUUUUAAUGAAUUAGUGAGGAAUAAAAUCAGAAUGUGUCUGAAUACAUUGGCAUUGCAACUCUUGACUCUCAGAGGAAUCAGCUGUGUGAAAAAAAUUUUGAAAACCCUCAGUGAGAACAAACAUAGCCCAUGAUUCUUAGUUCUUUACUUGAAAGUAGAAAUCAAUAUAGCAGGACACUCAACUAUAUUCACAAAUUCAGUACUGAUAGAAAUAUUUAUGGAGAGAUAGUUACGUGAACCUAAUUUAUGUUAUUUUUC